UGGUGGUGGGCGCCUGUAGUCCCAGCUACUCGGGAGGCUGAGGCAGGAGAGUGGCGUGAACCCGGGAGGCGGAACUUGGAGUGAGCCGAGAUCGCGCCCCUGCACUCCAGCCUGGGCGACAGAGCGAGGCUCCGUCUCAAAAAAAAAAAAAAAAAAAGAGGCUGACAAAUGCAGUUUCUGGGAAAGAAACAUUUAGUAGGCACUUACAAACAGAAAUGAUGCCUCAGGUGUUUGCAAGAUAAGAUGGUGGAACUCCACGCUUACCUCCAGACCCAGGGCUCUGCAUCGGGAGUUUGCGUAAGGGUAAGAUUUACCUGAAGUAUGUGAAAGUGAAAGUAGAAAUCGUAGAGGCAUUCCCGGAACGAGAGUUAAUCAGAAGUCAACGUGGCGGAUUAGCAUCCACGAUGGAGUUGCUUUAGCUUCCACAGCUGGUUUGGACUGCUGAGACGCAAGUUCGUUUUACUCUAUUAUUAUUUUGUAAUUUUCUUUCAUCAGAAACUCACUCUGAGGAUUCAGAAUUCCACAAUUUAGCAAAGUGUUUAAUCCUUAAUAUAGAGGAAAUUCAUAUUCAAUAAAAGCCUACUUCAGUGCUUCUGUACCUCCUGGGGCUCAUAAAUGUACAAACCAGCAGUUUCAGGCUGGGGGUCCUCAGUCUCCCCAACCAGUGCUGACACAUGCCGAGCUGAAUUUGAAACAGUGGGAGAUCUAGAGAUGGUAAGAAAUCAUUUUUGUUUGUUUGUUUGUUUGUUUGUUUUAGAGACAGGGUCUUGCUCUGUCGUCCAGACUGGAGUGCAACAGUGUGAUCAUGGCUCACUAUAACCUCAAACUCCUGCGCUCAAGCCAUCCUCCCACCUCGGCCUCCCAAAGAUGUUGGGAUUACAGGCUUGAGCCACCACACCCAGCCAAGAAAAAUUUUUGAUAUCUUCCCAAUCCUGAGUCUUUGUGACCUCUCUGGUUUAUUUCUGAGAGAUCACUGAGCAUUGGGCAGACUCACUCCUCUGCUGCAAGCAUGAAUCACUGACUCCGCUGUGACACUCCUAGAAAUGAAGGCAACUGCUCCCUGGACAAGGUGCUUGGUGUGAGUAAAGUGUUUUCGUAUCCACUGAUGAAAGACACAUGCAACAGUAAAAUCAAUUCAGUGCCUUUUUCCGACUUUUCCAGCCAAAAGCUCUGCUAAAAUGUUGUGACUGUAGCUUCACAGCUGUGAAGAAUUUUAUUCUGUUACCGGCAAUUCCAUCCUUUUCGCUGCCGUGGUUUUCAUUUCCCUCCUGGUGGUUUGAGUCCUCACGCCCAGUCUCUGCUCCCGUGGUCCACCUGAGCCACUUGCCCUGCUUUGAGAUGACCUCAUUCAGCCCUCCAGUUGCCAUGGCAGCACCAGGAGUUCGGAGGAAUGUUGUUUUCAAGGUCUCGGCAGCUCUUUCCUCUGGGGUGAUUGAUUCGGGAUCUUUUGGGUUAGCAUUCACAUCAAAGAGACUCAUUUAAUUUUCCCAGCCACUUUUCUCUCCACAUCUGUAUCUAACCCCCUGCCCUCCGUGCUGGCUUUUCAGAAGAUUUAGAUACACUUAUUCAGAGCUUUAAAGUUGUUUGGGCUUUAACAUGCUUAUUGACAAACAAUCCACGGCUGGCCCAUGUCUAGACCCUCAAAUGCUGGGUAGGCACCACCUGGUUCACUGUAGUUUACUCAUGGAGAAAAUUCUGGAUUCCUGUUACUGGCUGGAACUUUCUAGAUGGCUGCCGUGACUCUAGGAAGAGUGAGGCUGGAAACUCCGGGAACUUUGGAGCCUAGCCCUUUCUGAUUUCCAAGACUGGCUGCCUGCUCUUUCUCAGACCUGUCCUGACGUUCUUCUAUGUUCUACUGGUUGACCGAGAUAAGGAUUUUAAGAGCGUUAGCCCCAAUCCCAGCAUGAUAAUUCCCAGGUUAAGAUUAAGAAUGAGGCUGGGAGUGGUGGCUCACACCUAUAAUCUCAGCACUUGGGGAGGCCAAGGUGGGGGGAUCAUUUGAGGUUGGAAGCUCGAGACCAGCCUGGCCAACUGGUGGAACCUCGACUCUACUAAAGAAAUACAAAAAUUAGCCAGGCAUGGUAGCAGGUACCUGUUGUCCCCCCUACUUGGGAGGCUGAGGUAUGAGAAUUGCUUGAACCCGGGAGGCAGAGGUUGCAGUGAGCCGAGAUCCCACCACUGUACUCCAGCCUGGGCAACAGAGCAAGACUCUGUCUCAAAAAAGAAAAAAAAAAAAAGGUAGGAAUGAGCACCUGGUGGCUCACACCUAUAAUCCCAGCUCCUCAGGAGGCUGAGGUGGGAUGGAAUACUUGAAGCUAGGAACUAAGAGCAGCCUGCAUUUAAUAACCAUAGUUAAUACUUUAAAUCAAAAGAGACAUUUAAAUAGAAUGUUCUAUGCUUCUGCUUUGAAUAAUAUACCUUCAUAAAAACCUGGAAGGCCAGGUUUGAAUUGAGAAUUCUUGGAGUCCUUGGUGUUCUGCAUCAGGAUGUGGUAGUGGGUGGUGGGAGGAGCUCUUCCCAGUUCACAGCUGUGGUCCCCCUACCUACCCUGUCAUUCUGGCUUUCAGCUGUAGCACCGCGUGAUGUGGCUUGCUCAGGCAGGGAAGGGGCCCACGUAGGCCCUGGAAGUGGGCUGUGCCUAUUUUGGUAGGUCAUUCUGGGGUCACAGUAUCCUGGCAUUGUUCAGAAGGGGCACGGCUUCUGGGUGGGCCUGUCACUCAGCUUGAUGGGGACGGAGGCAUGUGCUGGGGGCGCCCAGAGCAGUGGCCUCUAAAUCAAGGGCCCAGGGCAGGGGCUUAUCUUGCCCAGGUCUAAAGGUGAUGUUGCUUUAGCCUACAUCUAUUUGAGGACAGGCCUUGGCAGACAGCAGGAGUCAUUCUCCAACUGCGUUAUAUUUGAAUUCAAAUAAUUGCUUGGAGAUCUGUGUGCCUCUGGAUUCCUGUCAUUUUUUUCCCUCCUAUUUCUACUUUUCUUAACUCAUACCUCCUUCCUAGUUCUUGGAUUCUGUUUAUUUUUUUUAUUUUUUUUUAAUUUUUGGAGAAAGAGUCUUGUUCUGUUGCUUAGGCUGGAGUAUAAUGGCACAAUCUUGGCUCACUGCAAACUCUGCCUCCUGGGUUCAAGUGAUUCUCCUGCCUCAGCCUCCCAAGUAGCUGAGAUUACAGGCACCCGCCACGACGCCCAACUAAUUUUUGUAUUUUUGUAGAGACGGGGUUUCACCAUGUUGGUCAGGCUGGUCUCAAACUCCCGACCUCAAGUGAUCUGCCCACCUUGGCCUCCCAAAGUGCUGGGAUUACAGGCGUGAGCCACCGUGCCCAGCAGCUCCGUACUCUUAAAUCCAGUGGUUUACAUGGCAGCCUCACUUGGAUGUUGCAUAGAUAUUUAAACCUAGGAGGCCCAAAAAGAAACUGUUGGUUUUCCCUCUGGAAUUUAGACUUCCCACCCCUGUCCCUGCAGGUAAACUUUCUGCCUCAGUCAUGACAGCGGAGUCCAUUAAAGCAGUGGGUCAGACCUUACACAGUGCUUCACCCUGGAUUUCUUGCUUUUCCCCAAACCCACAUUCCCUCCCUCAGCAAGCCCUGAAAAUUUAACUCCAAAUCGGACGUGGAAUUGGCCCGCUCUUCCCCUGCGCUGGCUUACCCAAGCCUAGUGCAGCCUGGACUCCUCCAUCCACUCCUGCCUUCUGUCCUUUCUUGCACAGUGACAACAAUGUCCUUAAUGUGCCAAUGUGUUAUUUGGAUUAUUUCACCUCAUUGCUUGCAAUUCUUUAAAGGCUUUUUUUUUUUUAAGACAGAGUUUGCUCUGUCGCCCAGGCUGGAGUGCAGUGCUGCGAUCUCGGCUCACUGCAGCCUCUGCCUCCCGGGUUCACGCCAUUCUCCUGCCUCAGCCUCCCAAGUAGCUGGGACUGCAGGCACCCACCACCACGCCUGGCUGUUUUUUUGUAUUUUUAGUAGAGAUGGGGUUUCACCGUGUUAGCCAAGAUGGUCUCAAUCUCCUGACCUCAUGAUCCGCCCACCUUGGCCUCCCAAAGUGCUGGGAUUACAGGCGUGAGCCACCGCACCCGGCCACAUAUGGCAUUUUAUUUCAUCUUCCAUUACUCAUUGAUGGACUUAUGCCUUUGCCUUCAGAGCUCACAACAGGCCAAUGUCAAAACCACAACACAAAACACUACAUGAAUAAAAACAAUCAAAUCAUCAUUGUGAUCAGAACAUUCUCUCCCUACAGACCUAUUUAUGUGGGAAAUAACUUUAUAACCAGAAGAUUGCUUGCAGAUUCCAUGAUUAGUACCUUAGAAUUCUACUGUGAAGAGAACCAGAAUACUUCUUUUGCUCUCUAAAACCUUGGGAAAAACACUGGAAAUCCACUGACCUAUUACAUUCUCUUUUUCCUAUGUAAAGCAUUGUUUGGCUUUCCAAUCCCCUUGCCACAACCAUGCAUAACACUUGGUUGUGUAUCUCCAGAUUUUUCCAAAUGUUCAUGCAAAAGUACAUGCGUACAUUUCAGCCUUCGUUUAUUAUAAAAAUGAGAACAUUAAUAUAUACACUUAUGUCAUUUUAUUUCCACUUAAAACACCAGGUAUAUCAGGUUCUAGAGAAGAUCCAUGUAGAUCUUCUCACUUCUUUGCAGAUCUGGAAUACUCCAGUACACAGAUGAUAACAAGAAAAAACAUUUCAUUCCUUUAUUUAAUAAUGUAUAUGCAUAGAGAUGGGUCCUCGCUAUGUAGCUCAAGCUGGUCUUCAGCUUCUGGGCUCGAGUGAUCCUCCC
rnacentral:lncRNA from 10 species